rnacentral:rRNA from 1 species
UACACUCCUGCGGGAGGCAGCAGUGGGGAAUAUUGCACAAUGGGCGCAAGCCUGAUGCAGCGACGCCGCGUGGGGGAUGAAGGCCUUCGGGUUGUAAACUCCUUUCGCUAGGGACGAAGCUUUUUUGUGACGGUACCUAGAUAAGAAGCACCGGCUAACUACGUGCCAGCAGCCGCGGUAAUACGUAGGGUGCGAGCGUUGUCCGGAAUUACUGGGCGUAAAGGGCUCGUAGGUGGUUUGUCGCGUCGUCUGUGAAAUUCUGGGGCUUAACUCCGGGCGUGCAGGCGAUACGGGCAUAACUUGAGUGCUGUAGGGGUAACUGGAAUUCCUGGUGUAGCGGUGAAAUGCGCAGAUAUCAGGAGGAACACCGAUGGCGAAGGCAGGUUACUGGGCAGUUACUGACGCUGAGGAGCGAAAGCAUGGGUAGCGAACAGGAUUAGAUACCCCUGUAGUCCC